GAAACAGAGGAGACAUCUUAAAGCAUUACCAAAACUCUUUGCUUCUACUUUGAGCCUUAAAGUAAGAUCUCAGUGUAUUACAGACAAGGAAGGGCCUGGAAAUCAGCUAGCCUGGCUCUUCUGCAGAGUUGCCUCUUUAGCCUUGCUUUAAGCAUCUCUGUGGGACAAAGCCAUCAUGGAAAUGUCAUUUGCUGCGUUUAUCUGCUUACCUCUGACUGCAGCACUCUCUUCAGAGGAUGAGGGAGGAUCCUCAUACUCAGGAAAUAAGUAACUUCCUGGGUCUAAGAAAGGGGAACUUAGAAGUUUCAAAUGACCCUCCAACACUAUGUAGACUGAGGAGCCUCUGACCAACUCAGCUUCUGAAAAAAAUCCAAACCUGUCCCUGCAGUUUCGGCUGUGCUGUUUCCGGAGUCAAGUAUUGAGGUUGAAGGAGGCUGAUUAGGCCUGGUCUGUGGCAGAAUGGUGCCCAAGCAGGGACCUCUGGACAGAAUGCUGCAGGAGCAUGCUAGCUUCCAGAAUGACUCCUGUGACAGGCUGACCUGUGAGUUCCUGAGAGCCCUGACAGUGGUGACAGGAAAGCUGUAUUGAGCGCACAGAGAAGGAGGAAUUGGGGAGAGCAGACACUUGCAAGCAAAAUGAAGAAACUCUUCCUAUCUCCACCACAGACUACAGCAAGGAGAACCAACCUGGUGCUGACAUAAAAUACAAACAACUAAAAGAGCUGACUCGUGAGGCAGAGGGACUGGUACAGAGAAUGAACAAGAUGUUUUCAUCAGAGACAAUGUUUUUGGCCAUUCAGGCCAACUCUCCUAUAGCUGUAAUAACUUGUGCUCCUUACCAGUAUGCUAUAUUGUUAGAUAAUUUUAAGAGUUAAGAUCACCAAUCUUGGCAAGUCUUUUCAUAUUAAUUAAUUCUUGUCAAUUAACAUUGUGUAGAUCAUAACUUAGAUAAGGAAUCUGCUGUUAUGAUGUUGUUAAAAAGACCUGCUUACAUUUUGCUGCCUGUAGACUUAGGAAAUAAUCCUUGGUUUGAGAAUUCAGGAUUGCAAACUUUGAAAAGGUUAAAUGAAUUUAUUAGACCAAAGGAGAUUUGUUACAGCUCUGAUUUUAGGAAUUACUGCUUUAACUGCAAUUUUAACUUCUUUUGCAGUAUCUACCACAGCUUUAGUUCGGCAACUACAUACCUCUCAUUUUGUUAUACAUAAACUGGAGGCAAAGGUUAAUGCUUUAAAAAAAAAAGGUAGUUUUAGCAAUAGCUUGAGACAGGAUAUACCAAGUAUUAAGGCUAGGUUAACAGAAAUUUCAGAUAUUAGCAGAAGCCAUUUGAAUACUUGGAACAUUGAUGAAUUGGCCAGAGAUUUAAAGAAUAACCUAAGUGCAUUGAAUCCCUUGGAUUGGGUUCAAUAUAUAAUCUUGCUUGCUAAUAUUACUGGAAUUAUUUUUUUAGUAAUCAUUGUGUUUCCACUCAUCUCUAGAGUUCUUCUGAGAUCUGUAGCUACCACGAAGCGGGACAUUCUGGAAUUUCGUCUAAAAAAAUAAAAAACAGGGGGAACUGCUACAUCCACUCCAGUAGUGACAAGCACAACAGGCCCCAAAAACCUGGGUGCUGUCCCAUGGCGAAAAGUUCACAGAAACUUAGUCUCCUAGAAUCGUGGCAUCCUGUAUAAAGAAUGCUCCAAUGUCCUUGCUUUAGUUGGUAAAUGGAGCUGUGUGCUUUCCCUUAACAUUGCUUUAUUACAAGUGCUCCUAAGGAUUGAUAUUUUGAUAUAUAGCUAAGUUAGAUUCUAGCCAGUCCUUGAUCCGACCUUGGGCAUGGAUAGCUAAGUCACUGCUCUACACAGAAAUUUACCAUUAUCUGGGAAGAAGGAAGUUUGUGACCUAAAGAGGAACCAGAGUAGAUAAUACUUAGAACUAUAGGUAGCUGAGUUACACCAUACACAAGUAUUUACAAUGGCCUAGGGGAAAGGUCGACUAGAGUAGGAACUAUGGCAAGGGCAUUAAGAUUAAGUGGACCUUACCUGGAGCUGUUUUUGAUCCCAGUUGUUAACAUUGAGAUUUACCCCAGUUGGUUCCUGCCAGUUUUUCCAUGUUUGUAUUUCUCUGUUUUGUGUAAGAAUCCAGUAACCUCUUUGUACCUUGCCCGUGUGUCACCCAACUUCCCUAUUUUCUUCUGUAUAAAAAGUUUGAUGCUCGAUUUGACAAAUUACAUUCAGAUCCAGCACAC
rnacentral:lncRNA from 1 species